UUCAAGUGAAAGCGGCAACAGCUUCAAAUUUGAAAUCUGGCCCCCGCGGUCCGAGUUGUAAUUUGUAGAGGAKGCUUUUGGCGCGGAGCCUUCCGAGUUCCCUGGAACGGGACGCCAUAGAGGGUGAGAGCCCCGUCUGGUUGGACACCAAGCCUCUGUAAAGCUCCUUCGACGAGUCGAGUAGUUUGGGAAUGCUGCUCUAAAUGGGAGGUAUAUGUCUUCUUAAGCUAAAUACCGGCCUGAGACCGAUAGCGCACAAGUAGAGUGAUCGAAAGAUGAAAAGCACUUUGAAAAGAGGGUUAAAUAGUACGUGAAAUUGUUGAAAGGGAAGCGUUUGUGACCAGACUUGGGGCCGGUUAAACAUCCAGCGUUCUCGCUGGUGCAUUUUGCCGGCCGAGGCCAGCAUCAGUUCGCGCCCGGGGAUUAAGGUUUCGGGAACGUGGCUCCCUCGGGAGUGUUAUAGCCCGUUGCGGAAUACCCUGGUGCGGACUGAGGUUCGCGCUCCGCAAGGAUGCUGGCGUAAUGGUCAUCAGCGACCCGUCUUGAAACACGGACCAAGGAGUCGUCUUCGUAUGCGAGUGUUCGGGUGUCAAACCCCUACGCGUAAUGAAAGUGAACGCAGGUGAGAGCUUCCGCGCAUCAUCGACCGAUCCUGAUGUUCUCGGAUGGAUUUGAGUAAGAGCAUUU
rnacentral:rRNA from 1 species